rnacentral:lncRNA from 1 species
CACAUGGUGACAAAUGCGGUUUGUGAAAGAUGCCAUAGGGAAUUGACGCAGCCGAUCUCGACAUCAUACAAAACUUAUUGAGAGAGCGUCCUCUGCACAACAAUUUUCAACCCUGAACCUGAUAAACCUUCACCACCGCCAACUUCUUUCAAAUAUUUGGAUUGGAGCUACUCAACUCGGAAAGACUGAGGCAGACUCAUCCCCAUUUCAAUAGCGACAAUUGCGAGUUCUUUAGGUGCUGGUUUCUGUUUCAGUAAAUCGAGAGUCCAAGGAAUCAAGUCAACCGCUUAUUCUGCUGCCAGACCAAGAUGCAUGGUAGCGAAGAUACUGAGAGCUCAAGCUCAAGUUAUCAACCCUUAAAUUAGAAAGAACGAGAAGGUGGUGGACUCCGUUGUUGUCAGCUGAGCUUUCUAAGCCCCUCACAGCUUAUUG